rnacentral:rRNA from 1 species
UACGUAGGGGGCGAGCGUUAUCCGGAGUUACUGGGCGUAAAGGGCACGCAGGCGGUCGUGUAAGUUUGGGGUUACAGCUCCCGGCUCAACUGGGAGAGCGCCUUGAAGACUGCAGGACUUGAGGGCCACAGAGGGACACAGAAUUCCGGGUGUAGUGGUGAAAUGCGUAGAUAUCCGGAGGAAUACCAAAGGCGAAGGCAGUGUCCUGGGUGGCACCUGACGCUCAGGUGCGAAAGCUAGGGGAGCGAACAGG